rnacentral:rRNA from 1 species
CGAGCACGCGCGUGUGGCAUAUCAAUAAGCGGAGGAAAAGAAACUAACAAGGAUUCCCUUAGUAACGGCGAGUGAAGCGGGAAGAGCUCAAAUUUGAAAUCUUCAAGGUUCUACCUUGACGAAUUGUAGUUUAUAGAAGUGUUUUCUGUUAGUAGAGUGGCAAAAGUUCUUUGGAAUAGGACAUCAUAGAGGGUGAGAAUCCCGUAUUUGGUCAUUCCUCCUAGCGUUGUGAUACACUUUCAACGAGUCGGAUUGUUUGGGAAUGCAGUCCAAAAUGGGUGGUAAAUUUCAUCUAAAGCUAAAUAUUGGCGAGAGGACCGAUAGCGAACAAGUACCGUGAGGGAAAGAUGAAAAGAACUUUGAAAAGGAGAGUUAAACAGUACGUGAAAUUGUCAAAAGGGAAGCGUUUGACACCAGUGUUGUUUUUCCGAAAAUCAAUUACGAAUGUUUUGUUUUUGAAGGAGUUAUGACUUCAUCGGCUUGCUUCCUUUCUUUACUGAAACUUUCUUAAUGCACUUUUCGGUUAACAAGUCAACAUCAAUUUCUUUUGUUGUAAAAGGGUAUGAGGAAGGUGGCUUUCUUUUCGGAGAAAGUGUUUAUAGCCUUGUGCCUCUGCUAAUCGGAGAGAUUGAGGUCUGCAGCGUAGAUCCUUCGGGGUUAGAUACAGUUUGUGCUAAGUUAUAGCUUUUCAUAGACAACUUGUUGACUAUGUUUAGUCUUGUAGCUUACUCGCUUAUGCUAUUUUACCUACGCUUAGGAUGUUGAUGUGAUACUGCGAGCA